CCCCCUCCACCUCCACCAAACUCCCAUCCUCUCUCCUCAACUUUCCAAUAAAGUUAUUUUUCCUCCUCUCCGAACAAGAUGCAUGGAAGAACGAUGUAUUUUUAUCUCCUUUCUCCAGCCAUUUAACAUGCGCCCUUUGUUUCCAAUACAUAUCAAAUUUCAGAUUUACUCCACGUCAAUCGUUUGAGGAUUUGUUUAUGUGUCAAUCGACGCUGUGAGCCAUCCGAUCAGGGUUGGACGUGUGGGAUAUAUUCGCUUCUACUUCGUGUAAUCGGGCCCGCUCGGCUCAGUUGUUCUGCCCGUUGUAGUGUUACCGGGUCGGUGUUGAAGUGUUAUCGGGUUUGGUCUGAUACUCCACUCGAUGUCUCCUGUCCCUUUCGUUUCUGUGCUGAGCUGCAUGGAGGCGGAAUAGGUGGAGAUGGAGAGGCGGGCGAUUUGGCGGACCUUGUCUUCCUCAAUGACGAUUGUGGAUUUCCGGCGAGGUCCUCUUGAGAACAACGAUGACUCUAAGAUGAUAUGUGAAGACAACUUCAAGAAUGUAUACAAGUUAUUUUGUGGUUGAGUAUCCUAUUGUGUCUACUAUGAGUUUACCCAAGUGUUUUUGAGAUGAGUGGUGUGUAAUGCACCUUUCCAAGAUGGAACGUCAACAAUAUAAGGUUAUCAUUGAUGUUGCUUCGUUGCAGAUUUCUAUGGUACGGUGUCACCCAUAAAAUUGAAAUUGUGUUCUCCCUGAGCUUUAUUAGAGCUCACAAUGUGGAGGAAUCGGCACUUGUCAAACUGUAACUGUGGCAUGUACUUAUAGGGUGUGAUUGUAAUUGUGAGGAAAAUUACUUGUGGCAUGUAAAUUUUUAAUUUUUGAUGUAUUUUUCACCCUCUAAUGCUGCUAUUUGAUUCCCAGCUUGCAUAUUUUAUUUACAUGUAACUUUAUUGUCAACCCGUAAAAUAUUGCCUGUAAUUUUUUUAUUUUUGAUGUA